AAAAAACUAACUAAAACCUCAGAAAACCCUGACGCAGAAAACAAGCCGCACUUGAACGGUGCUACCACAGCCCUCAGUUCCACCGUAUCAAUCAUGGGUAGCCAAGGCGCUGUUUCCUUAUUGAACAACGUCGCACGCGCCGCCUUGGGUCUCGGCGUAGCCACCACGGCUCUCAACUCAUCUCUCUACACCGUCGACGGCGGCCAGCGCGCAGUCAUCUUCGACCGCAUCCGUGGAAUUCUCGACGAAACCGUCGGCGAAGGCACCCAUUUCCUCAUCCCAUGGCUCCAAAAGCCUUUCAUCUUCGACAUCCGCACGAAGCCCCACACUUUCUCCUCCGUCUCCGGCACCAAGGACCUCCAGAUGGUCAACCUAACCCUCCGCGUUCUCUCGCGCCCCGAGGUCACGCGCCUCCCUCAGAUCGUCCAAACCCUAGGUCUCGAGUACGACGAGAAGGUCCUCCCUUCGAUCGGCAACGAGGUCUUGAAGGCCGUCGUGGCUCAGUUCAACGCCGAUCAGCUCCUCACCGAGCGCCCGCAGGUCUCGGCGCUCGUGCAGAGCGGGCUCACCGAGCGCGCCAGGAACUUCAACAUCGUGCUCGAUGACGUGGCGAUCACGCACCUGUCGUACGGCUCGGAGUUCUCGCGCGCCGUGGAGCAGAAGCAGGUGGCGCAGCAGGAGGCGGAGAGGUCGAAGUUUGUGGUGGCGAAGGCGGAGCAGGAGAGGCGCGCCGCCAUCAUUAGGGCCGAGGGAGAGAGCGAGUCGGCGAAGAUGAUAUCGGAGGCUACUGAGAAGGCUGGAACGGGACUCAUUGAGCUCAGGAAGAUUGAGGCCAUGAGGGAGAAUGCCGCCACGCUUGCUAAGUCCCCGAAUGUCUCUUACUUGCCCAGUGGCCAGAAGCUUCUCAUGGCUCUCAAUGCCAACCGUUAAAGAGCUAAGGGUCUCAUGGCAUGGCAUAAAAGCAUGAUGAGGUCAUGGAUUUGGACAAAUUGCUGGUUUAUCACUCUGAAGUCAAUUUUUUUAUGUAUCUAAGAUCAUAUCGUCUGAACUUUCUUAAGAUCCAGUCAUUAAGAAUUUAGGAAACUGUUUUGGAUUUUUUGUUGAAAGUUGCAUUGGUUUUUUCCCUGUCCUGGAAGCAUGGCCAUGUUUAUAACUUAGGUGAUAAAAUUGCGUUUCUGAUAUGUUGAUCUAUGCUGAAUGCAUUUUCCUUUCCCCUAAUUGCUUAGGAAUAGUUAAAGUUUGUUUUAUUUUAUGGCCACCAUUAAUUCCUUUAGAGGAAAAGUUCCUUACGAUUUAUUGAUUGAGGAACCUAGCUAUGUGAUGAAUUCAACCAUGUAUGCAUUUGGUAAUGUAUAUGGCUGUUUAUGCAGCAUCUGUGGUGGUUAUCUUCAUAUAGCUAGUAAGUGGAGAAUAGCAUUUGUUUAGCUAGUACAAAUGUGCAUUUACAGAUUAUUUAAUUUAUUUUACUGGUGUAUAUAGUGUUGAAAUUAUAUUUCCAUUGUAGUCUGCUAUUGGAUAGGGUUGCAAGCCUGCAAAUUAGCUCAAGUUUGGGUUGAUCUAAAAUACAAUGGCUUGAUGUCCAUUUGAGCUCUGAAAUCCAGGUCCGUUCAACCUCAGCUAGAUGUGAGCUUUAUCAAGCUCACCUAAGACUGGACAAACCCAAACCCCAAUGAACAAAACUGUAAGCUCAUGUUUUUUUGUUCCAUUUUCAUAGCAUAGCAAGAAGGAUGCUGAUGUGCUUGCACCUUUUUCUUUGAAUGAAAGCUGAUGAAAAAAAUUAUUUUUCAGACAACGGUGUUAAUGUGGCCUCGCAAGUCAAAACAGAAAAGUAGGUUAUUAUGUAAAGCACUGCACUCAACAUUCUAUUUGUAGUUCAUUUUGUUGGAGCACAAGCUAACGAGCAAGAGUAAGUUUAUAAGUACCAAGUCCCACCAAGUCAUCCCAACCCUCUGUUUGGGGAGAAAGUAUCUUAUAAGCCACUCUCUCCAGGUCAGCUUCUUUCUUGUUGAGACUACCCAAUAAAGAAGAUACCUGCACCAACUGGAAAUUACAAUGAUACCCUCAAAAUUUUCAAUAGGCUAUUCACUCCCCCUUUUUUCUCAGUUUCAACUUUUAAGAACACUCUCUUCCUUCACUCUCUUCCAGCGGAUGGUGAGCCACCUGGUUUUGUGAUUGAUCAGCAGUGGAGACAACUGCUCCACCCCAAUGGAAACUGCAAAAUUUUAAAAUUAAAAAAAAAAAAAGAAAAAAGAAAAAAGAAAAAAAAGGAGCCCGGAGUAGAGGGUUUCGCCAUCCACCAGCAUCUCACUAACAGUGUUUCAACCACCCACGUUACCUAUGUUUCAAAAGCCUACCCGAAAUAAACUCAAUGCCCAUUGCAUAUACUGACCUGUUAGAAAAAAGCUUGAAUCUUAAACAAACAGCAUUCAUACCAGAAGAAUCUACCUUUCCUUUCUUUUGUAUCAGAUUUAUGUUUCUAAAGCUUUAGAUAACCUCCCAAAAGAUGUUUGGCAGUUGUAGGCCUUAUGGUCGGUAGUACUGAUUCCGUGGGCUUGAAGAAGAGGAUGAAAGUGCUGAUUAAUGGGCAUGCUGUUGAUUCUGUGGUGGCUUCACAAGUAUCCAAUCUUCAACCUCACAAACCCAAGCUUUUGACAUGAGGAAAACUACUUUGCUUCAAAGGAUCACAAUCUUCUCUCCCGGCUAAAAUUUUGGUUUUUGAACAAAUGUAAUUGUCAAAAGCAAAGUAUGUAUGAUAAAAUAUUUUAGUACAAGUGUUGGAACUGCCUUUUGAGUAAAAGUAAAUCUUUGCCUAUUGUUA